CCACCCAGGGCGCCACCAAUACCGGCUGAGGUAUUACCCGCGAACGCGGCGCCACUGGCCAGGCUCAGGGACAGAACAAGCAUCGAGGAGUACUUCAUGGUGAGGAGAACCUCCGUGUGAAUAUGGCCGCGAUCCUCGUUGCCUCUUGGUGUCUGCGCAAGCCUCUGCCGACGAACUGCAUGACUUUGUUCAAGGUUGGUAAAUAUUUGUUUUUAACGGAGAACUUAAGGGUUUUCGCUGGGUCUGAGGCUUCUUGGUGCGUCGUGUUUGGGCGCUAUUUCUGGACUGAAAUGCUGGCCAUCUGCCCG
rnacentral:sRNA from 1 species